NNNUGCGAUCAUACCAGCACUAAUGCACCAGAUCCCAUCAGAACUCCGCAGUCAAGCGUGCUUGAGCGAGAGUAGUAGUAGGAUGGGUUACCUCCUGGGAAGUCCUCAUGUUGCACUUC
rnacentral:rRNA from 1 species